rnacentral:rRNA from 1 species
GGAGGAUUUAGUAGUAAACUAAGAAUAGAGUGCUUAGUUGAACUAGGCCAUGAAGCACGCACACACCGCCCGUCGCUCUCCUCAAAUAUAAUUAGAACUAACUUAACUAAAUAUUUCUGCAUUCAUACAGAGGAGAUAAGUCGUAACAUGGUAAGUGUACUGGAAAGUGCACUUGGAUAAAU